rnacentral:rRNA from 1 species
UGGGGAAUCUUGCGCAAUGGGCGAAAGCCUGACGCAGCGACGCCGCGUGAGGGAAGAAGGCCUUCGGGUUGUAAACCUCUUUCAGGAGGGACGAAGCCACUCGGGUUAAUACCCCAGAGGGUAACGGUACCUCCAGAAGAAGCCCCGGCUAACUACGUGCCAGCAGCCGCGGUAAUACGUAGGGGGCAAGCGUUGUCCGGAAUCAUUGGGCGUAAAGCGCGUGUAGGCGGCCAGGUAGGUCUGCUGUGAAAACUCGAGGCUCAACUUCGAGAUGUCGGCGGAAACCAUCUGGCUAGAGUCCGGAAGAGGAGAGUAGAAUUCCUGGUGUAGCGGUGAAGUGCGCAGAUAUCAGGAGGAAUACCCGUGGCGAAAGCGGCUCUCUGGGACGGUACUGACGCUGAGACGCGAAAGCGUGGGGAGCAAACAGGAUUAGAUACCCUGGUAGUCCACGCCGUAAACGAUGGGUGCUAGGUGUGGGCGGUGUCGACUCCGUCCGUGCCGAAGCUAACGCAUUAAGCACCCCGCCUGGGGAGUACGGCCGCAAGGCUAA